CGUUAUUUUAAUUUUAUUUUCCCCUUAUAUUUUCUAUGUUGCUUUUUCAGUCUGACUUUGAGUAAAAAAAAUCCUUCUAGUGGUAUUUUUAUUAUAUUUUGUCCUUUUUAAUGUUGCUUUUGCCAAUCCAUUUUUGAGUUAAAAAACUCAUCCAAACUAUCACUGAUCCCAUAUACUUGUGCAAAUAGUUGAUCCUCAUUAUCCAUAUUUCUCUUUAAUUCUUAACAUGCAAAAAUGAC
rnacentral:lncRNA from 1 species